rnacentral:lncRNA from 1 species
UCCAUAAAGAAAAUGUUCUAACCCAUGAGUGUAUAAGUUUGGUACAUUUCAAGAGGUUAAAUAAGUUUCAAAAAAUAUUGGUAACAAAUUAAAUGAUUUCUAGAACAUUCAAAAGAAAAAUAACAAUUCAAAAUUAUCUCAAGUAAGGUCUAGUUCUUCAGCGUCUUUAUCAUCCAUUUAUUGAUCUACUCCACCUACAAAAACGGAUAAAUAAAGGUAUUUAUCCUUCAAGAGAAUCCGAUUAGGAAUACUCAUAGUACAAAUUGCCAUGAAAAAGAAAAAAAUAAAGAAGUCGGUUUCUGAAGACUGUAAAUUUAUAUCGAAAUAUAUGAAAAUAUGCCCAACAUCAGGGACCAUUCCCAUACUUUGCUUGUCCGUUUAUUGAAAGUUAUCUCAAACAAAUAGGUAAGCGGGCCUUAGGAUAAAAGCAAGAACAACACAAGCAAAUGAAUGAAGUUGUUAUGUCCAAUAUUUUGUGAUUUUACUUCUCAAUUGAACAAAAAUAGCACACUUCUAGAGAUGGGAAUUAUAGUUGAGAGUUUCACUAAAUCAUUUUAUUAUGUAACAAGAUAAUCUUGAACAUUCUUUGUUUCACCAUAUUCCUAGAAAGCUAGAGCAAGAGAAGCAUAAUCAACAAUGCUUUCAAACAGACUUUCCAACUCAUAUCCAGUACAAAAGCUUAAGCAAAACAGAAUGACAAAAAAAUAUUCUUACCAGAGGCAAAAGGAAAAAAACAUGCGUCUCAAUGAUGAGACAGUUAAUAGUAGAAAGAUUAUCAAUUUGUGUUCCAUUCCUACUUUAGCAGCAACAUCUAAAGUUCACAUUCACAGUUUUCAUUUGCUUUUUUACAUUAAGAUUCUCUCAACAAUUAUUAUUUUACUUCAUCAAUAUGUCAUGAAGGCCAACUAAGUAAUUCUACAAUAAUGUUCUGAAAGUCUUUAAAUAUCGUGUCAAAGUUUUCUCUGAUGCUAUUUAUAUAAAGAUACAACAACUACAAUUAUGUUUCAAUCCUAUAGUAGUAAGGUGAACCUCAAUAUCCAUUUAUACAUUGUCACGUUACCCCUCCAUUUAAAAUUUAUUUUAAUACAUGUACUCGGCUGUAAACCACUAAUCAAGAUGAUUAGAUUAUACAACCAAAACUGUGCAGAUGAUAUCUUUCACCCAAGAAGACUGCUACCUUUACUACAGAACGAACUGCUAAUAUAAAAAUGGUGUCCUUGUAGAAUCAAAACUGCAAAGCUGGGCAAUCUUUAAUUGCUCAAGCUGGAGAUGAAAUUGUAUUAGGAAGAAAAGUGAAGAACACAGAUACAUUACCACACCAGAAUCAGAUUAUUAGCCAACUUAAUUCAACUUAUCACCAACAUUACCUCUAUAAAGAGUUAGGGCCACAAUACAAAUCAAGGAAUAGGGGUAUGCAUCUCAAGCCAGAAAUCUAAUUUAAGGUCGAAACAGAGCUUUUCAUGCAGACAAGACUAACAGGUAGGAAUCAGUAUCCUACACAGCAGCAUUCUAAUGAGUAUAUCAUUUUUAAGGUAAAGUUUUAUUAAUGAAGGUAACAAGAUGGUAUAAUUAUGCCAGACCAAAAACUACCAUAAUAAUCUACAACAAAUCAACUAUCUCCACCAAGAAAUCUAUAUACUGCACCCCCACACAACCACCAUCUACAUUCUCUAUGCUGCUGCUCAUGCAACUCAGAUGAUUAACCCUUUGGAGUCUUUUCAAUUGAUAUCCUUCACCAAACUAACACACAUACCAACUCACAUAUACCUCACAGAACUUCCUCCUUUCUACCACCUCCUCUAACAAAUCAGUUCACAUCUUAAUUGAGGAAAAGAGAGCAGACUUAUAGUUGGAGGGUGAACCACAUUACCCUCCCCAGACCCCACUUUGUUGGACUAUACUGGGUAGUUGUUGUUGUUGUUGUUUGCUCUUUUUGCAGGGAUCUGGAAGAGCUUUUGGUCACUUGUUACACCUUCAGUCAGUCGUAUUAGUAUCCCAGAUACUCAUUCUGCUGAAUGUGAAUCAAGUUAACCAAAGUUCCACCAGAUUAGAGCCACAGGAAUAGCCAAGAGUCACAAACCAGCCUAGUCCAAGGCAGGUUUACAUGCUGAAACAUAAACAGUUCUGAACCAAGAGUCACUAAACAGUCUACAGCUGCUUGCACAAGAAGAAAAAAGUUUGUUUAUAUAGACUUAUUGGUUAAUUUUGUUGAUAUAGAAGAGAUAAGAAGUAAAAUAAAAAAUUAAAGCAAAUCUAUAAUGUGAGACAGAAGAAGAAAAAAGAAGCAAAAGUAUAGAAAAUUAUAAAACAGUAAAACUAAUCUAAAUAAAAACAUCGUAGUUUUACCAUGAUAGAGUCGUGCAGGAACAAUCCUCUGAUUAGGAGAAGAGAAGCCAGUGCUCAUACCAGCCCAGUCUAAGUGAGAAUUUCAUCUGUGAAGGGUGCAAAUUGCAAAUAUUUCGAUUAGGCAAUCCAAGAGACUAUUGUUACAUCACAGAGAUAAUAUCUUUGAGUUGAAGAGAGACAGUCCUAUGUACUUUUGUAUCAUCGGCAGUUUCAUGCAGCUCAGGUGAAUUAUACAUACUUAUCAAUAAGAGAAUAAAGUUGAUUGCGGAUAAGAAUUUUCUCUGACUUAUUCUACAGACUAAAGCUGCAGUCAGAUAAAUUUUCAAACAAUAGAACUCGCUCUUUCAUAGUCUAAAGUAGGAAGCAUCUUCUGAAGAGAUAGUUUCGCUUAAAUAUACAACAGUACAAUGUGUUAAACAAGGUUAAUCCGUUAGAAACAACAUAGACAUGGUGAUACCAUGAUUUAACAAUCUUUGCAACAACUGAAUCAUGACAUUUUAGAUUCUAACCAUAUAGUAGGAAUACAUAUACAAAUAUAACAACUGCCCAGUAUAGUCCCACAAAGUGGGGCAUAGUAGGAAUACAUAUAUGAUGAAGAAAUGAGAGUAUUGGGAACACAAACGGAGUAUACAAAGAAGUAACAAAAAGGCUAAGAAUAUACAGAGCUCCAAAAUCUGCAUCCUGCAAAAAGUAGGUCACAUAAAAGUUAGAUGUAAGUACCUUGAUGGGAUUGGAGUUCCAAUAUGGGAUCGGAGUUCCAAUAUUCAAGAAGAUCCUUAAAGUGAGACCCUGGAACAUCUACCGGCCUAAAUAAAUGAAAUUCAACAUCAAGAAAGAUAUCGACAGAUCAAUGGGAUAGGAGAAGCUUCAAACAUCAUCGAAAAGUUAAAUCAAUGUUAAUCAGGCAUAUCAAAGGAAAAAAAAAGAAUUAUUGCAAAAAUUUACAAACAAAAUGGAAGAUAGAUAAGUGGAUCCACGAUUUAAACUUGACAACUUCGGCCUUUAAAGGUCUUAGAAUUGAAUUCGUUAUACUUGUGCAAUACUUAAUAAACCAUUAAGUUCGAAAUAUGCACUAGAAGUAGUUAACCACUAUUGCACGCCAAAGAAUUGAAGACACGGAUUCUAAAAACAGGUGUCCGCAAUUCCUUUUGGUGUCUGCAAGAGGAAUAUCCAUUCUAUCCAAACAAAUAGAAUAAAAUAUGGCCAAACUCUCCUUGAGAAAGGAUCUUAUAAAAUAUUAAAUUUGUUACCGAUAAUCUUAGUUUGGUAGCAGAAAUAUGAUACAACUUCUACCUACCUUGUAACAACAUAUAAGCUCAGAAGGUACUCUUAAGUAUCUUCACACAAUCGCAUUUUAAGUAACAAGUUUUAGAACGAUUACAAAUAUAAACAACUCCACCUCUUGAACUAGAGAUUUACCUCGUGCUUUUUUAAAGGGUCAAAGGGAAAAACUAUGCGACCUUUAUAGUAAAAAAUAGGAUAAAAUCACGAUGCAAUUUCGUCAUUAAACUGAGAGCAAAAAAGGGAUGACUUAUAGUGCAAAAGAACCCUAAAAAAUUUCUAGUAAUCGGAACAAAGCUUCAACAGAAAAAUACUCACAACUUUAUGAAAGGGAGAUACUAAUAAGUUGACCAAGAAAGAUGAGGGCUCAUCAAUUCAUUUCCAACUUGUCUUUCACCAGACAAAUACCUUCAAUUUCCUGCCGAUGAACUUGAAUUUUGAGAAAUCCUAGAGGAUUAGCAAGACUAAUACUGGCCUUAAAGGGAUUUUCCGAUGUUGACAUUGCCGGUUCAGCCGAUGACGCUUUUGUUUUCUCCUUGUAAUCUCCGACAGCAGAGGCGCCGAUGAUGGUUUGGAAGAGAGAGAGUGUGAAAGAGUUUAUGUGAGUGGGGGUGACUUAGAUCGAUCUGUAGUAGGUAUACUCUUAUUUUAUUGAAUAAAAAAAAUACUAAUUAGAGCAGGCCUCAUUUAAUUUAGCGGGUGUCGUCAAAAAUACUAAUUUAGAGAGGGAAUUCAAACCCAUUGCAAUAAAACAAAACUUUAAGU